AAACCUUAGUAAUAACACACCUUUAGAAUUGCAGUCUAAUAUCAUUAAUAUGACUACAAAGCU
rnacentral:tRNA from 1 species